CACUUAUCCAGAGAGGUGGAGGGACUGGCCCUACGAAACCUCGGCAACAGACUCAUUAUGAGCACUGUGCCAAUUCCAUCAGACAAUUGUCUGAGAGAUGAGUC
rnacentral:ncRNA from 19 species